AAGUCGUAACAAGGUUUCCGUAGGUGAACCUGCGGAAGGAUCAUUAACAAAGAUUUUUAAAAAAUCUUAGAUCAACCCGUGAAUCACUAUUUUUUAUUUAUUACAUUACCUUUUUAAUUUUAUUUAAUACUUUCUAAACUUAUAAUAAUAAUAUUAUAAAACUUUCAGCAACGGAUCUCUAGGCUCUU
rnacentral:misc_RNA from 1 species